AACGCACAUUGCGCUUUCUGGCAUUCCGGAGAGCAUGCCUGUUUCAGAAUCGUGAAGUCUCUCUCCUCCCACCAAUCUCCUGUGUGAUUUGUGGGUGGAGGAUGUGGAUGGUUUCUGCUCUGCCUCUCUCUUGUCGAGAACCAGAGCAGAUCAUCUGAAAGUCAGCGGUGUCUUUGUCGAUCGUUUGACGGUGUCGAUCCUGUUCAAGUGCAACAGAGGUUUCUUUUACACUUGGAUGCAUCUGCACCGUCGAGGUUCGGCUGCCCGUCCCUCCCUUGACAACAAACUUUUUCUGUCAGUGCGAUCUGAAAUCAGGCAAGAAAACCCGCUGAACUUAA
rnacentral:misc_RNA from 1 species